rnacentral:lncRNA from 1 species
CUUAUUAUACUAAAGGCAAGGCUGUUUUGUCAGCCCUAAAUCAAUGGAAAAUUGAAACCCUAAUCUUCACCCAAUAGUGUUUUGCCAUAUUUUUCUAUUAUCCAAUAAAAUUUUGACACACCUAGGUUUCCAUUGAUUCUAGGUUUACAUGUUUACAUGACUUACUAGAAGGUUUGAUGUCUAUGAUACUGAUAAAGUGACAAAUGGUAAACUAGAAACAUGCAUUGGGGCCUAGAAGGAUAUAUAUUUCUUUUUUCUCAAUUUUUUUUUCAUUUGAGAAGUUUCUUUCUCUCUCUUCUCUCUUUCUCAUACGCUCUCUCUCUCUCUUUUCUCACCAUCUAAUGUUGUUCAUGAUGAACAACAAGAACACCAUGCAUGUUCAUCCCCAUACCCAGAUUCCGGCGAGCAACCACCGUCGCCGGAAAGUCCAAUCACUUCCAUCUCUUUUUUCCCUCAACCGUUCUUAAUAUCUCCCUGCCCUCACCAUCUCGUCCUUCACCACCGCAUCCACCACAACCUCCACCGCCACCUACAAAUCAAUCUCCGAAUCAGAACGUCCUAUCCGCUUCCGGUGAUGCCGCCGUCAUCAGAAUCACGUUAUUCUUCCUCUCAGGUAGGCCGAAAAUCAUCAACUCUAACCCCCAAAUUUCAAUUCCUCAAAUUUUGAUAAUGUUUUAAAUCCUCCAUGAAAUUGGAUCUUUGUAUGUCAAUAAACUCAGGUGACUAGAAAUUACUAGCUUAAAUACAAUCUAAAGUAUGUCAUCUGUAUUCUUUGUGUUUUCAGGUCUGAAUUGUGCAGAG